AUUUUCUUUAUUAUGCCCUGGAGGUUCCAACAAAAAGUCAUUACUGUGAUUUGGUGGUAACAUAUUCAUUGCCAUAUCAUUUGAUUGCCAGGGAUACUGUGGAGCAAGGACAUCUAGAGAAAAGAAAGAAGCACAUGUUCCUGCCUGCAAGAGAGAUAAAAGCCUCAAGACAAAGGACCCAGCACUGGCUCUCCUUCCUAGAGGCACACCAGAACCUCCCCACUUCUUCUUCUUCCACAGGAAUGCAUCUCCUAAACUCUAAGGGAUCCCAGGAGGCUUUCAACCACGGCAGCAAUGGGCAGCAGCAGUUCGUCCCAGGCAACCCCUUGAACCUGUCCCCAAGACCCCCAUUUCUCUGAUUUCUUAGCCAAAGCAGACCAGCCUAGGCUCAUUUCCCCAGUUCUUUCUUGUUUCACUCCCAAGCUUUAUUAAAUGUCCUCUAAAAUUCAAA